rnacentral:rRNA from 1 species
UGGGGAAUAUUGCACAAUGGGCGAAAGCCUGAUGCAGCGACGCCGCGUGAGGGAUGACGGCCUUCGGGUUGUAAACCUCUUUCAGCAGGGAAGAAGCGAAAGUGACGGUACCUGCAGAAGAAGCGCCGGCUAACUACGUGCCAGCAGCCGCGGUAAUACGUAGGGCGCAAGCGUUGUCCGGAAUUAUUGGGCGUAAAGAGCUCGUAGGCGGUUAGUCGCGUCUGCUGUGAAAACUCGAGGCUCGACCUCGGGCUUGCAGUGGGUACGGGCUGACUAGAGUGCGGUAGGGGUGACUGGAAUUCCUGGUGUAGCGGUGGAAUGCGCAGAUAUCAGGAGGAACACCGAUGGCGAAGGCAGGUCACUGGGCCGCAACUGACGCUGAGGAGCGAAAGCAUGGGGAGCGAACAGGAUUAGAUAGCCCUGGUAGUCCAUGCCGUAAACGUUGGGCACUAGGUGUGGGGUCCAUUCCACGGAUUCCGUGCCGCAGCAAACGCAUUAAGUGCCCCGCCUGGGGAGUACGGCCGCAAGGCUAAAACUCAAAUGAAUUGACGGGGUCAUAGCUGUUUCCU